GUCUUGAUAGGGCUAGGCGAUUUCUGAUCAGGCUUGACGAGGAUUGGUUCCUUAUCGUCUAUCUUGACAGGGCUUGGUUCUUUCUCAUCGGGCUUUACGGCGCUAGGCGCCUUUUCGUCAGGCUUGGCAGGGCUAAGUUCCUUCUCAUCGAGCUUGACAGGGCUAGGUACCCUCUCAUCAGGCUUGACAGGGCUAGGUUCCUUCUCAUCGGGCUUGACAGGGCUAGCUACCUUUUCUUCGGGCUUAACAGGGCUUGGUUCCUUAUCAUCUGUCUUGAGAGGGCUAGGCAGCUUGUCAUCGUGUUCGAUGGGGCGAGAUAUCUUUUCGUCAGGCUUGACAGGGCUAGGCGCCUU
rnacentral:lncRNA from 1 species